AUCCUCGUCGUCAGAUCCCGCCCCGAUCUUCACUCAGGAAACGGCGCGCCCCGCCCGAUCGACCGGGAAACGGUCUGCCUCGCCCUCCCUAAGGAACCAUGGCAACGUAUGGCAAGACAACAGAAUGAAUUCGAGCGAUUUACAUGCCGAAUAAAAGAAAAAGGAGCGGCGAUUUUCAUCGCCGCUCCUUCGCGGUGCCCAGGAAAGGACUCGAACCUUCACAUCAUCACUGACACUAGUACCUGAAACUAGCGCGUCUACCAUUUCGCCACCUGGGCAGUCCAACAUGUCAAAAAAACGAUCGAACCCGAAGGUUACUCAACGUGCCCAGAACAAGACUCGAACUUGCACGUCGUACAGAUGUGAAAACUAUGGGCUCAACCCAUAGCCUGCAUUUGAAACUGUUUUUCUUGAGUGCUGGAGAGGCAAUCGGAAUUCCGUGUGUAGCGGUGAAAUGCGUAGAUAUACGGAGGAACACCAGUGGCGAAGGCGGAUUGCUGGACAGUAACUGACGCUGAGGCGCGAAAGCGUGGGGAGCAAACAGGAUUAGAUACCCUGGUAGUCCACGCCGUAAACGAUGGAUACUAGGUGUGGGGGGUCUGACCCCCUCCGUGCCGCAGUUAACACAAUAAGUAUCCCACCUGGGGAGUACGAUCGCAAGGUUGAAACUCAAAGGAAUUGACGGGGGCCCGCACAAGCGGUGGAUUAUGUGGUUUAAUUCGAAGCAACGCGAAGAACCUUACCAGGGCUUGACAUCCUACUAACGAGAUAGAGAUAUGUUAGGUGCCCUUCGGGGAAAGUAGAGACAGGUGGUGCAUGGUUGUCGUCAGCUCGUGUCGUGAGAUGUUGGGUUAAGUCCCGCAACGAGCGCAACCCUUAUUGUUAGUUGCUACCAUUUAGUUGAGCACUCUAGCGAGACUGCCCGGGUUAACCGGGAGGAAGGUGGGGAUGACGUCAAAUCAUCAUGCCCCUUAUGUCUAGGGCUACACACGUGCUACAAUGGCAAGUACAAAGAGAAGCAAUACCGCGAGGUGGAGCAAAACUCAAAAACUUGUCUCAGUUCGGAUUGUAGGCUGAAACUCGCCUACAUGAAGCUGGAGUUGCUAGUAAUCGCGAAUCAGCAUGUCGCGGUGAAUACGUUCCCGGGCCUUGUACACACCGCCCGUCACACCAUGAGAGUUGGCAAUACCCAACGUACGUGAUCUAACCCGCAAGGGAGGAAGCGUCCUAAGGUAGGGUCAGCGAUUGGGGUGAAGUCGUAACAAGGUAGCCGUAGGAGAACCUGCGGCUG
rnacentral:rRNA from 1 species